UACGGAGGGUGCAAGCGUUAUCCGGAUUUACUGGGUUUAAAGGGUGUGUAGGCGGAUUAUUAAGUCAGCGGUGAAAUCUCCGAGCUCAACUCGGAAACUGCCAUUGAUACUAUUAGUCUUGAAUAUUGUUGAGGUGGGCGGAACGGGUCAUGUAGCGGUGAAAUGCAUAGAUAUGAGCCGGAAGAGCGAUUGCGAAGGCAGCCCACUAAGCAAUGAUUGACGCUGAGGCACGAAAGGGGGGGGAUCAAACAGG
rnacentral:rRNA from 1 species